rnacentral:rRNA from 1 species
UACGUAGGUGGCGAGCGUUGUCCGGAAUUACUGGGUGUAAAGCGCGUGUAGGCGGGAGGCCAAGUCUGCGGUGAAAUCGCUCGGCUCAACUGGGCGGGGUCCGUGGAAACUGGUCACCUGGAGGACGGUAGAGGCGAGUGGAAUUCCCGGUGUAGUGGUGAAAUGCGUAGAGAUCGGGAGGAACACCAGUGGCGAAGGCGGCUCGCUGGGCCGGACCUGACGCUGAGACGCGAAGGCGUGGGGAGCGAACGGG